rnacentral:rRNA from 1 species
GAUGAACGCUGGCGGCGUGCCUAAUACAUGCAAGUCGAGCGAACGGACGAGAAGCUUGCUUCUCUGAUGUUAGCGGCGGACGGGUGAGUAACACGUGGAUAACCUACCUAUAAGACUGGGAUAACUUCGGGAAACCGGAGCUAAUACCGGAUGAUAUUUUGAACCGCAUGGUCCAAAAGUGAAAGACGGUCUUGCUGUCACUUAUAGAUGGAUCCGCGCUGCAUUAGCUAGUUGGUAAGGUAAUGGCUUACCAAGGCAACGAUGCAUAGCCGACCUGAGAGGGUGAUCGGCCACACUGGAACUGAGACACGGUCCAGACUCCUACGGGAGGCAGCAGUAGGGAAUCUUCCGCAAUGGGCGAAAGCCUGACGGAGCAACGCCGCGUGAGUGAUGAAGGUCUUCGGAUCGUAAAACUCUGUUAUUAGGGAAGAACAUAUGUGUAAGUAACUGUGCACAUCUUGACGGUACCUAAUCAGAAAGCCACGGCUAACUACGUG